GACGGGGCCCGCACAAGGCGGUGGAGCAUGUGUUAAUCGAAGCAACGCGAAGAACCUUACCAGGUCUUGACAUCCCUGACAACCAGAGAUUGGCGUCCCUUCGGGGGACAGGGUGACAGGUGGUGCAUGGUUGUCGUCAGCUCGUGUCGUGAGAUGUUGGGUUAAGUCCCGCAACGAGCGCAACCCUCGCCUCUAGUUGCCAGCAUUCGGUUGGGCACUCUAAGGUGACUGCCGGCUAAAAGUCGGAGGAAGUGGGGAUGACGUCAAAUCAUCAUGCCCCUUAUGACCUGGGCUACACACGUGCUACAAUGGGCGGUACAAAGGGUCGCGAAACCCGCGAGGGGGAGCCAAUCCCAAAAAGCUAGCUCUCAGUUCGGAUUGCAGGCUGCAACUCGCCUGCAUGAAGCCGGAAUCGCUAGUAAUCGCGGAUCAGCAUGCCGCGGUCGAAUACGUUCCCGGGCCUU
rnacentral:rRNA from 1 species